rnacentral:rRNA from 1 species
UACGAAGGGGCUAGCGUUGCUCGGAAUUACUGGGCGUAAAGCGCACGUAGGCGGAUCAUUUAAGUCGGGGGUGAAAUCCUGGAGCUCAACUCCAGAACUGCCUUCGAUACUGGCGAUCUUGAGUCCGGGAGAGGUGAGUGGAACUCCGAGUGUAGAGGUGAAAUUCGUAGAUAUUCGGAAGAACACCAGUGGCGAAGGCGGCUCACUGGCCCGGUACUGACGCUGAGGUGCGAAAGCGUGGGGAGCAAACAGG